ensembl:lncRNA
GCACCACAUUCUGGCGUCGGAGGCGCUUCUGCACAUGUACAGUGAGGUGCGUGGGGCUGCAGCUCGGGCGGCUGCGACUGUGCACAGAGCCGCACUGAGAGGAGCUACCCCACGUCCAAGGUCAGGGGCAGUGGCUGAGAGUGCCAGGCUGCGAGGGCACAGGAACGGCCAAGAGGAGCUACCCCACGUCCGAGGUCAGGGGCGGCGGCCGGGAGGAGCAAACCCACGUCUAAGUAGCGGUGGCUGCGCGGGCGCAGGAGGGCCUAGAGGAGAUAUUCCACGUCAAGGUCAGGAGGGGCGGCAGUGAGGAGAUACCCCUUGUCCAAGGU